rnacentral:tRNA from 1 species
GGGGGUAUAGCUCAAGUGGUAGAGUGCAUGCUUAGCAUGCACAAGGUCCUGAGUUCAAUUCCCAGUACCUCUA